AUACUUACCUGGUAGGGGAGAUACCUUGACCACAAAGGUGGUUUUCCUAGGGUGAGGCUUACUCAUUGCACUCUGGAUGUGCUGACCCCUGCAGUUUCCCCAAUGUGGGAAACUCGACUGCGUAAUUUGUGGUAGUAGGGGACUGUGUUUGCACUUUUCUCUU